rnacentral:lncRNA from 1 species
UUUGCCAUUACUUUGUGAUUGGAACUUCUUAUUGCACUAUCUCUUUAGGUUUCCCUUUCAUUCAGUAAUGUGUGAAGGGACCAAGAUGAUAUCUUCAAUCUGUUAUUGGGUUAGGUCCAUUAGUCCUUUAAGUUGUUCUACUCUUUUAUUUUUUUGUUUUCCACUUCCUCCUAUUCAAUUGCAUAUUAGAUUUGUCCGUUAUGGCUCUUUCGAAAGUUGAUUACAUAGACAAUUUUUAUUUCCAUCUCAUAUUUUUUUAUGUUUCUUUUUUGGAUGUGAUUUUGAUUUUGAAGCUUCCUCCACUUUUGACGUUUCCUACUACUAAUGUGGCAUUUGGAGGUAUGGUCUUAACUAAGUCUUUAUGAUGAAUGCACAACUGACCAAGUUUUUACUUUAUAUUUUUGUAUUGGUGUGAAUGCUCUUGUAUAAAAUACUUAUAUUCCAUCUUCCCUCUUUUUUCAUUCCACAACUCUUGAUAUCUAAAGUUUCUAUU